AGAACAGCAGCUAGUGUUUAGCAGCUAGCGUUAGCGACAUAACUACCAUUUGAAGAUGUGUGUGUUUUUCUCUGUUAGCCGUGUGCUGUGUCUACUGGCGCUGACCAUGGCCAUCCUCUCCUCUACAUUGGAAGUGCGUUCCCAGGGAAUGAGGCCUCUAAAUUGCUGUUUGAAGACAUCCAAAAAACGUCCAGCAGAACCAAUCACACUGUGUCUUAUUCAGAUGCCUCGUGGGAAAUGUAACCUCAAAGCAUACAUUUUCGCCAGUGGGGAGCAGUGGAAGUGCAUCAACCCCAAAGCCAGAUGGCUCUCUGCUGAGCUAGCAUCACUGGAACAGAGAGGAAUACAGUGUGACCCACUGAUUAAAUAACCUUCAGACCAUGAUCCUAGAUCAUCAUCAUCGUCAGCAGCAGGUUCAGCAGCCUCUCUCAAUCAGGAACUACAGAACUAAGAUCUCUCUCAAGCAGGAACUACAGAACUAAGAUCUCUCUCAAGCAGGAACUACAGAACUAAGAUCUCUCUCAAGCAGGAACUACAGAACUAAGAUCUCUCUCAACCAGGAACUACAGAACUAAGAUCUCUCUCAACCAGGAACUACAGAACUAAGAUCUCUCUCAACCAGGAACUACAGAACUAAGAUAAUAAGAAGACAGUGAAAAUGAAGAUUAUGAUUUGUGUGAUUUAAGUAUUUCAAGCUCUCUUUAUCAGAUUAUUUAUGUAUUUAUUUAUUUAUUUCAACCUCAUCCCGGCAUUAAUUUAUUGUACUCAAUUCAUUAAGGUGUUUUAAAGGCAUUUGUAUUUAUUUAUUUCCUCUGUCCUUUUUUUAUGCUGUGAUAAUAACAUAACUUUGUUUGUAUAAAGUCUUUCAUUCUCAAAGUGCUUUACAGUGAUGCAAAAUAAAGAAUGGGAGACCUA